AAAAUCACUCAAAGCCAGGUGCAAAUUGGCCUUCAGCCUUCCUCACCUUUGUGCUACCAGCCAAGUUAAAUUUUCAGUGCAGACCUAUUGGUCUCCUUAGCAAAAAGGACCACCUCAGCUCAAGAUCUGGUUGUUUGCAACAGAGUUGGAGAACCAGCUUCCAGAGAGUGCUUGAACUGCAAGUGUUGCAGAAUGAUACCUCUCUGAGAAGCUCAUCUAAUAACUGUGAAAGCAAAGCUUCUUCUUUCAUAAUAAAGUUUAACUCUGCAUCUGCACGACACUGCAUUGCACCAACAUUGGAUUUUGAAAUCACUUCAUCAGAAGUGAAGUUUCACGUUGUGAGGGAUCUUUUGAAGCCAGAUCCAGCGUAAACCAUCCAGCUGUCUGUACAGCAAGGUCAGCACUCAUUGCUGCAGCAGCACAGACAGCUCCUAAGCUUCCUUAGCAUUGGGGACCAGAACUGCAUACAGACAGCCAGGUUCUCCACCCAGUGAUAAACCCCAGAUAAUGGUUUGUAAUUCAGGAAUGAGGAUCUUCAGGUGCUCCAGGGAAACAAUUUUGGUGUUGCAGACUGCCUCCAUGAAUACAAAGCUCUCAGCUGAGACACAAAACUGCAGUCACUGACUGAAAAAGGCUCUUUAUUCAAAACUAAUGAAGCAUCCUGUAAGUUCAGAGGUAAUGAGAGCAUGAAAAUCUGUAGCUCCAUCUUGUAUUUUAAAAGGUUUUGCUCCGCAUUGUAUGCCCAAGACCCUCUCCCCCAGAUGCAAAUUGAAACAGGGGUAACGGGGGAAGGGAAAAUCAUUCCAGACAGUUACAAAAACAGACCUCACCCUCUGCACUGUGUUCCAAGUGAAGAAGAACAUGAACCAUCCUGAAAAGUAAAGCAUGUAGAUAAGAAAAAUGUCAUUAUGGGAUGCACAAGAGCUCCAGAACACAUGUAAACAUGGUGAUGACAAUCAUGGUGCUCAUCAGCAGCUCACCAUAGAAUCUAGUUUCAGAUAAAUGAAUGUUCUAAAUGCUCUUCCUUGGGCCCAGAGACCUGCAAAGGCCUGUGAAACUUGGGAAAAUACAGAUGUGGAGGGAACCAACCAAACCUUCCUUGCGAGGAGAGAAGAAGAGAAACUGGUGUUAUGGUGGAAAUCAUUUGUCAAGCGCUUCUUACCCAGGGGGAGACUCAUGUGGGGACGUCCUGAGCUGGAAAAUAUGACUAAAAAGAUGCCAAAGCUGCUUUCCUGAGGGAUACAGAUUGAUGUGUCUGAAAGUUCCCUGGUGGGAAGAAGAGGUAGAAACACAAACAUAACAUGAAUAAUGUAGAACUACAGUGGAAAUAGGUGCCUGGUCAUUUAGCAGCUAUUCAGGUUGAUUCUCAUGACCAAGAACACCCUGUGCAGUGGAGGUGGGACAAGCUCUAAAAGACAUUGUCAGCCAAGAGAAAAGUUCCACCAAGGAAUCCAAUUCACUAUCACUGUGCCUGUCAUUCAUUAAUCACACUCUCUUUGUAUGAGGACACAUCAAUUUUCUCUUUUGCUUUCUAUGUCACAAAGCCAAAAAUCUUCUGCUAUCAGCAGUCUUGUGCUGUGGGUGAUAAAUAUUUUUAACAAAUCACUUGUUGGAUUAGUCUUUUCAUUUUGAUUACAGGUCUAGAAUUAAAAUUUGCUACAGCUGCAUUCACCUGCAUGGACAAAUACUCCCUACUCUCUUGCAAAAUCCCACAACCAUAACUUACAUUUUUAAUACUUAAUUUUUUUCAACUUCCAUCAUAAAACUUUGUUCAAAUCUCCUAUUUCAAGAGUCUCUUCAGGCAUUUUAAAUCUUGAUAUUUCUUCAUUGUCAACAGAUUUCCAAGUCUUCAGAAGAAGGUUUAUAUUCAUUUGUCAUCUAUGACUGAAAAUGACAAAUAAAAAAUUUCUAUAUCCA